ensembl:snRNA U6 U6 spliceosomal RNA
GUGCUCACUUCGGCAGCACAUAUACUAAAAUUGGAAUGAUACAGAGAAGAAUAGGAUGGCCCCUGUGCAAGGAUGACACACAAAUUCGCAAAGCAUUCCAUAUUUUU